rnacentral:rRNA from 1 species
AUUGAACGCUGGCGGCAGGCCUAACACAUGCAAGUCGAACGGUAACAGGAAGAAGCUUGCGUCUUUGCUGACGAGUGGCGGAUGGGUGAGUCAUGUCUGGGAAACUGCCUGAUGGAGGGGGAUAACUACUGGAAACGGCAGCUAAUACCGCAUAACGUCGCAAGACCAAAGAGGGGGACCUUGGUGCCUCUGGCCAUCGUGUGCGCCCAGAUGGGAUUAGCUAGAAGGUGGGGUAACGUCUCACCUAGGCGACGAUCGCUAGCUGAUCUGAGAGUAUGACCGGCGACAUUGGAACUUGACCAAGCACCAGGGUCCUAAGGGAGGACGCAGUGGGCAAUAUUAGACAGUGGGGGCAAGCCUGAUGCAGCAAUGCCACGUGUAUGAAGACGGCCUCGGGGUUGUAAAGUACUUUCAGCGGGGAGGAAGGGAGUAAAGUUAAUACCUAUCCUGAUUGACGUUACCAGGAAAAGAAGCACCGGCUAACUACGUG